UGAAUACGAGAUGCUACGGCGUUGAAGCAGUCUAUGUCAUACUUCCAAGAAAAGCUUGCACUGUCACAAACAAAGAAUGCCUGUACCAUAACCGACACAGGUGGGUAGGUAGAGUAUACUAAGGGGCGCGAGAUAACUCUCUCUAAGGAACUCGGCAAAAUGACUCCGUAACUUCGGGAGAGGAGUGCCUUAUUUUUAAGGUUGCAAUAACAAGAUCCAAGCAACUGUUUACCAAAAACACAGGUCUCCGCUAAGUCGUAAGACGAUGUAUGGGGGCUGACGCCUGCCCAGUGCCAGAAGGUUAAAGAAGUCGGUUAGCAUUCACGAAGCUGAGAACUGAAGCCCUGGUGAACGGCGGCCGUAACUAUAACGGUCCUAAGGUAGCGAAAUUCCUUGUCGGGUAAGUUCCGACCCGCACGAAAGGCGUAAUGAUUUGGAUACUGUCUCGGAGAGGGGCUCGGUGAAAUAGACUUGUCUGUGAAGAUGCGGACUACCUGCACCUGGACAGAAAGACCCUAUGAAGCUUUACUGUAACUUGAGAUUGAAAUUGGACUUUAUUUGCGCAGUAUAGGUGGGAGGCGUUGAGAAUAAUCUUGCGGGAUUAUUGGAGCCAUCAGUGAGAUACCACUCUUGUAAUGUUAGAUUUCUAACUUUGUAUCAUUCUCUGGUCAAAGAACAGUUUCAGGCGGGCAGUUUGACUGGGGCGGUCGCCUCCCAAAGGGUAACGGAGGCGCACAAAGGUUUCCUCUGAACGGGUAGAAAUCGUAUCUAGAGUGUAAAGGCAUAAGGAAGCUUGACUGUGAGACCUACAAGUCGAGCAGGGACGAAAGUCGGUCUUAGUGAUCUGACGGUGCUGAGUGGAAAGGCCGUCACUCAACGAAUAAAAGUUACUCUAGGAUAACAGGCUGAUCUCCCCCAAGAGUUCACAUCGACGGGGAGGUUUGGCAUCUCGAUGUCGGCUCAUCGCAUCCUGGGGCGGUAGUACGUCCCAAGGGUUGGGCUGUUCGCCCAUGAAAGCGGUACGCGAGCUGGGUUCAAACGUCGUGAGACAGUUCGGUCCAUAUCCGGUGUAGGCGUUAGAAUAUUGAGAGGAGCCUUCUCUAGUACGAGAGGACCGAGAAGGACAUACCUCUGGUGUACCAGUUAUCGUGCCAACGGUAAACGCUGGGUAGCUAUGUAUGGAGUGGAUAACCGCUGAAAGCAUCUAAGUGGGAAGCCCACCUCAAGAUAAGUAUUCUCAUC
rnacentral:rRNA from 1 species